GGGGAAUAUUGGACAAUGGGCGCAAGCCUGAUCCAGCCAUGCCGGGUGGGUGAAGAAGGCCUUCGGGUUGUAAAGCCCUUUUGUUGGGAAAGAAAAGCAGCCGGCCAAUACCCGGUUGUUCUGACGGUACCCAAAGAAUAAGCACCGGCUAACUUCGUGCCAGCAGCCGCGGUAAUACGAAGGGUGCAAGCGUUACUCGGAAUUACUGGGCGUAAAGCGUGCGUAGGUGGUGGUUUAAGUCCGUUGUGAAAGCCCUGGGCUCAACCUGGGAACGGCGGAGGAUACUGGGUCACUAGGGUGUGGCAGGGGGUAGGGGAAUUCCCGGUGGAACAGUGAAAUGCGUGGAGAUCGGGAGGAACAUCAGUGGCGAAGGCGACUGCCUGAGCCAACACUCACACUGAGGCACGAAAGCGUGGGGAGCAAACA
rnacentral:rRNA from 1 species